UGCAGCAAGCAUGGGCUGGAUUUUUUGCGAUUUGGGUAAGAAAUUAUUGAAAUAGUAAAAACCUAAAUUUUAUGUUUGUUGUCAUGUUUUUAUCUAGUUUAUCUCUGGAGUUAUGGCUGCUUUGAGUGCCAUGGUGACAUUAGAAAUCUCACAAGUCAACAUAAUGACCAAAAUGGAUCUACUCAGUCCAAAGGCUAAGAAGGAAAUAGAGAAGUAUCUGGACCCGGAUAUGUACUCAAUGAUGGAGGAGAAUUAACUCAGGAAAGAGAAAUUCAGGAAAUUAACCAAGGCCAUAUGUGGUUUGGUAAAUUACUAAGACGGCACAGUAUGGUUCGUUUCCUGCCCUUUGACCGCACUGAUGAGGAGGGCAUCAACAUUGUCCUGCAGCACAUUGAUUUCUCCAUACAAUAUGGUGAAGACCUGGAGUUUAAAGAGCCCAAGGAAAUUGAUGGGGAACCCAGUAACACAAAUUUCGACGAGUUCUUCCAAGACAGAGACGAUUCUUGAGAUCACACUUGAAAGACAGCCAGAUUUGUUCAAUUAAGGGUUUCAUUUAUUUAAUCUAUGUUUUGUGUCACUGUCAUUCAUAAUGUCAUUAGUUGAAGGAUGCAACCAUAACCUGUGCAAUGCCUCUUGAUCUUAACGGGGUUUUAUAAAAUGUAAUCCAUUUUUUAGAAGUGCAUAUUUAUUUCUGCAAUAAAA